CGCCUGUUUAUCAAAAACAUGUCUUUUUGAUAAUUAUUUAAGGUCUAGCCUGCUCAAUGAUUAUUUAAAUAGCUGCAGUAUCUUGACUGUACAAAGGUAGCAUAAUCAUUAGUUUUUUAAUUGAAAGCUGGAAUGAAUGGCUGAAUAAGGAAAUGACUGUCUCUUUUUAAUUAAUUUGAACUUUAUUUUUAAGUUAAAAAGCUUAAAUUUAAUAAAAAGACGAGAAGACCCUAUAGAGUUUAAUAGGUUUAUAUUUUUAUAAUUUAGGAUUCUAUUAUAUAAUAAUGUUAACUUAUUUAGUUGGGGUGACUAUAGAAUUUAAUAAACUUCAUUUUUGUAAUCACUGAUUUAUGAAUAAAUGAUCCUAGUGUUUAGAUUAAAAGAAUAAAUUACCUUAGGGAUAACAGCGUAAUUUUUUUGGAGAGUUCUUAUCGAUAAAAGAGAUUGCGACCUCGAUGUUGGAUUAAAGUUUAUUUUUGGUGUAAAAGCUAAAAUAUUAAGUCUGUUCGACUUUUAAAACUUUACGUGAUCUGAGUUUAGACCGG
rnacentral:rRNA from 1 species